AGCUUGCUGGGGGGAUUAGUGGCGAACGGGUGAGUAACACGUGAGUAACCUGCCCUUGACUCUGGGAUAAGCGCUGGAAACGGCGUCUAAUACCGGAUACGAGCUUCAGCCGCAUGGCUAGGAGUUGGAAAGAAUUUCGGUCAAGGAUGGACUCGCGGCCUAUCAGCUAGUUGGUGAGGUAAUGGCUCACCAAGGCGACGACGGGUAGCCGGCCUGAGAGGGUGACCGGCCACACUGGGACUGAGACACGGCCCAGACUCCUACGGGAGGCAGCAGUGGGGAAUAUUGCACAAUGGGCGAAAGCCUGAUGCAGCAACGCCGCGUGAGGGAUGACGGCCUUCGGGUUGUAAACCUCUUUUAGUAGGGAAGAAGCGAAAGUGACGGUACCUGCAGAAAAAGCACCGGCUAACUACGUGCCAGCAGCCGCGGUAAUACGUAGGGUGCAAGCGUUGUCCGGAAUUAUUGGGCGUAAAGAGCUCGUAGGCGGUUUGUCGCGUCUGCUGUGAAAUCUGGGGGCUCAACCCCCAGCCUGCAGUGGGUACGGGCAGACUAGAGUGCGGUAGGGGAGAUUGGAAUUACCUGGUGUAGCGGUGGAAUGCGCAGAUAUCAGGAGGAACACCGAUGGCGAAGGCAGAUCUCUGGGCCGUAACUGACGCUGAGGAGCGAAAGCGUGGGGAGCGAACAGGAUUAGAUACCCUGGUAGUCCACGCCGUAAACGUUGGGAACUAGAUGUGGGGACCAU
rnacentral:rRNA from 1 species